rnacentral:rRNA from 1 species
AGCAGCCGCGGUAAUUCCAGCUCCAAUAGCGUAUAUUAAAGUUGUUGCAGUUAAAAAGCUCGUAGUUGAAUUUCGAGAUCAGUACGCUGGUCGUGCCUUCGGUAUGCACUGGUGUCACUGGUUUCUCCCUUCUGAAGAACCGUAAUGCCAUUCAGUUGGUGUGGCGGGGAAUCAGGAUUGUUACUUUGAAAAAAUUAGAGUGUUUAAAGCAGGCUCGCGCUUGAAUACAUUAGCAUGGAAUAAUGAAAUAGGACGUUUGAUCCUAUUUUGUUGGUUUCUAGGAUCGACGUAAUGAUUAAUAGGGAUAGUUGGGGGCAUUAGUAUUCAAUUGUCAGAGGUGAAAUUCUUGGAUUUAUUGAAGACUAACUACUGCGAAAGCAUUUGCCAAGGAUGUUUUCAUUAAUCAAGAACGAAAGUUAGGGGAUCGAAGACGAUCAGAUACCGUCGUAGUCUUAACCAUAAACUAUGCCGACUAGGGAUCGGAUGAUGUUAAUUUUUUAAUGACUCAUUCGGCGCCUUACG